GGCCCUAUGGUCGCCCGGCGUUGCGACCUUU
rnacentral:sRNA from 1 species